UACGUAGGGACCGAGCGUUGUCCGGAAUCAUUGGGCGUAAAGAGCUCGUAGGCGGUGUGUCGCGUCGGCCGUGAAAACCUGGGGCUCAACUCUGGGCGUGCGGUCGAUACGGGCAUCACUUGAGUUCGGCAGGGGAGACUGGAAUUCCUGGUGUAGCGGUGAAAUGCGCAGAUAUCAGGAGGAACACCGGUGGCGAAGGCGGGUCUCUGGGCCACUACUGACGCUGAGAAGCGAAAGCAUGGGGAGCGAACAGG
rnacentral:rRNA from 1 species